GCUCAGAGCGAACGCUGGCGGCAGGCCUAACACAUGCAAGUCGAACGGAUCCUUCGGGAUUAGUGGCGGACGGGUGAGUAACACGUGGGAACGUGCCCUUUGGUUCGGAACAACUCAGGGAAACUUGAGCUAAUACCGGAUGUGCCCUUCGGGGGAAAGAUUUAUCGCCAUUGGAGCGGCCCGCGUAGGAUUAGCUAGUUGGUGGGGUAAAGGCCCACCAAGGCUACGAUCCUUAGCUGGUCUGAGAGGAUGAUCAGCCACAUUGGGACUGAGACACGGCCCAAACUCCUACGGGAGGCAGCAGUGGGGAAUCUUGCGCAAUGGGCGAAAGCCUGACGCAGCCAUGCCGCGUGAAUGAUGAAGGUCUUAGGAUUGUAAAAUUCUUCACCGGGGACGAUAA
rnacentral:rRNA from 1 species